CCACAUUUCAGCCCGUGCACGUCGGUGGAAGCACUCUAUGUAGAAGUCUAGUCUGUUGUUUCAACCUUCAGGAGGAGUCCACACAGAAUCCUUCUUUUUGUAGUGUUGGUAGGAAGGUUUCUGUGGAUUAGUGUGCUGUUCAGAGUGUAGACAUACUCACGGUGACUCAGACUACAUGGAGUAACAGGAAGUGUGACUACACAUCCCUCCCUGGAGUAGGAAGACUCUGGAUGACUAGAGAUCCAGAAGCAUGAUGUCAUCAGAAAUACUAUGCAACUGAAAUCUGGCUGAAUAAGGGAGAUUUUGUUUGCCAUUUCUAACAAUAAUUUAGUUCACAUGCUUGAGAAACACUUGGGUUAAUGGGUGUAUUUGCUAAAGAUUCAAUACCCAGCACCUCUUCAGUCAUCAGGGCUAAGAAUACUCAGA